UAAAAUGGCUGGUAUUUGGAUACUCUCAAAGGCCAGUUGUUCUCACCCUGGCCUUUAGCUAUGGCACCAACACAUUGUCAACUAAGUGAUCACAGUGCUUUUUGACUCUUGAGCCCUUGGAAGUCUUCUCUGACGUGUUUCCAGGGGAGGAAUAUCAUCAAGACAAGCAAGAGGAAAAAUCAGGAAGUCUCUGGAGAGCCUGACUCAUAGAUUCGGCCUUAGGGAAGACAGCACCCACAUUCCAGAACAGCAUGGGGCUACAAAAAAGAAUCAACCAUCUCCCCAGCACUAAGCUGAGUGCUGAACACACAGUAGGCUCCAUUAAGUACGUGUUCAACGGAACCAAUUUCAUUUUCUUAGACACUCUGCUUUAAGUUCCAGGAGAAGUAAGACUUCCAUUUACCAAUGAAGAUAACAUGGCAACAAAAGAACAAAGAGAUGCCAUACU